rnacentral:rRNA from 1 species
UACGGAGGGUGCAAGCGUUAUCCGGAUUUACUGGGUUUAAAGGGCUCGUAGGCGGCCAACUAAGUCAGACGUGAAAUCCCUCGGCUUAACCGGGGAACUGCGUCUGAUACUGGAUGGCUUGAGUGUGGGAGAGGGAUGCGGAAUUCCAGGUGUAGCGGUGAAAUGCGUAGAUAUCUGGAGGAACACCGGUGGCGAAGGCGGCAUCCUGGACUACUACUGACGCUGAGUGAGCGAAAGCCAGGGGAGCAAACGGG